AGUGAACGCUGGCGGUAGGCCUAACACAUGCAAGUCGAACGGCAGCACAGUAAGAGCUUGCUCUUACGGGUGGCGAGUGGCGGACGAGUGAGGAAUACAUCGGAAUCUACUUUUUCGUGGGGGAUAACGUAGGGAAACUUACGCUAAUACCGCAUACGACCUACGGGUGAAAGCAGGGGAUCUUCGGACCUUGCGCGAUUGAAUGAGCCGAUGUCGGAUUAGCUAGUUGGCGGGGUAAAGGCCCACCAAGGCGACGAUCCGUAGCUGGUCUGAGAGGAUGAUCAGCCACACUGGAACUGAGACACGGUCCAGACUCCUACGGGAGGCAGCAGUGGGGAAUAUUGGACAAUGGGCGCAAGCCUGAUCCAGCCAUACCGCGUGGGUGAAGAAGGCCUUCGAGUUGUAAAGCCCUUUUGUUGGGAAAGAAAAGCAGCAGGUUAAUACCCCGCUGUUCUGACGGUACCCAAAGAAUAAGCACCGGCUAACUUCGUG
rnacentral:rRNA from 1 species